UAGGGGGCAAGCGUUAUCCGGAAUCACUGGGUGUAAAGGGAGCGUAGACGGCAGGGCAAGCCUGGAGUGAAAGGCGGGGGCCCAACCCCCGGACUGCUCUGGGAACUGCCUAGCUUGAGUGCAGGAGAGGUAAGUGGAAUUCCUAGUGUAGCGGUGAAAUGCGUAGAUAUUAGGAGGAACACCAGUGGCGAAGGCGGCUUACUGGACUGUAACUGACGUUGAGGCUCGAAAGCGUGGGGAGCAAA
rnacentral:rRNA from 1 species